rnacentral:rRNA from 1 species
UACAGAGGGUGCAAGCGUUAAUCGGAAUUACUGGGCGUAAAGCGUGCGCAGGCGGUGAUGUAAGACAGUUGUGAAAUCCCCGGGCUCAACCUGGGAACUGCAUUUGUGACUGCAUGGCUAGAGUGCGGCAGAGGGGGAUGGAAUUCCGCGUGUAGCAGUGAAAUGCGUAGAUAUGCGGAGGAACACCGAUGGCGAAGGCAAUCCCCUGGGCCUGCACUGACGCUCAUGCACGAAAGCGUGGGGAGCAAACAGG